CGAGCCUUAACUGCCGGUUCAGGGCCUUAAGUAAGACCCCAUGAACAAUUUUUGGAGACCCAGCACCAUGCUGGGUU
rnacentral:snRNA from 1 species